rnacentral:lncRNA from 1 species
GGUUUAAGAUAUCUCCUGAUACAUAAUAAAGUUCUCCAAAUACUCUUGUAUGUUUCUGACCUUCUUGAUGACAUGGCUCCCUCUUACUACUGAGUUUUGUGCCUGUACUGUAUGAUUAUGAUUUUUUACCUGGGGAACAGAAAUAUUUGCAAAUGACAUAUCUAAUGAAGGAUUAGUAUCCAAAAUAUAUAUAGAACCUAUACAACUCAACACCAAAAAAAAUCCAAAUAAUUCAAUUUUAAAAAGGGCAGAAAACAUGAACAGAUAUUUUUCCAAAGAAAACAUCCAAAUAGCCAACAGACACAUGAAAAGGUGCUCAACAUUACUUAUCAUCAGGGAGAUGCAAAUCAAAACAAUGAGAGAUCACAUCACACCUACUAGAAUGGCUAAAGUCAAAAACAUAAGAAACAACAAGUGUUGGUGAGGCUGUGGAGAAAAAGGAACCCUGGGGCACUGUUGGUGGGAAUGCAAACUGGUGGAGCUACUGUGGAAAACAGUAUGGAGGUUUCUCAAAAAAUUAAAAUUAGAAUUACCAUAUGAUCCAGUAAUUCCACUAUUGGGUAUUUACCUAAAGAAUAUGAAAACAUUAAUUUGAAAAGGUAUAUGCACCCCUGUUUCCUGUGGCAUUAUUUAUAAUAGCCAAAUUAUGGAAGCAACUCAGUGUUCAUGGAUAGAUGAAUGGAUAAAGAAGAUGUGGUAUAUAUGUUUAGUGGAAUACUAGUCAGCCAUAAAAAAGAAUAAAAUCUUGCCAUUUGCAACAAUGUGGAUGGAUCUAGAGAGCACAAUGCUAAGUGAAAUAAGUCAGUCAGAUAAAGAAAAAUACCAUGAUUUCACUCAUAUGUGGAAUUUAAGAAACAAAACAAAGAAAAAAGAGACAAAAACACAGACUUUUAACUGGGUGGUUAAGGGGGGUGAAAUAGGUGAACACGAUGAAGAGUACACUUACAGUCAUAAGUACUGAGUAAUGUAUAUAAUUAAUGAAUCACUAGAUUAUAUACCUAAAACUAUUAUAAUAUUGUGUGUUAAUUAUACUGGAAUUAAAAUUUUAAAAAUAAGAAUUUUAAAAAUGAUUAAAAAUUACUUUUUAAAAAAUGAGAUAGGGUUGUUAAACUAAGGUAGGAAACAAAAGAAACAAGGAGAGGACAAGAGAUUAUUACAGCAUGAACAACAGAUUCAUUUCAGUGUAUGUCAUCUAUAUCACUCAAUAUUUUGUCAGCAGCUAUACAAAAGCUUAUGUGUUCUAGAAGAGAGAGCAAAGCCCCCUAAGUUGGUUUAUAGAUUCAGAAUCUGAUUUUAUUUACUACCUGUGCAUUCUUGGACAAAGUACAUAACUUCUCUGAUCCUUUACUGUAAAAUGAAGAUAAUAUCUACAACACAAGGUUCUUAUAAGGUCCAAAUGUAGAUGACAGGUAUUUUUCAAUCUUUUUUAAGGCAGGGCAGAGGCAGAGAGUCUCAAGCAGACUCUACGCCCAGCACAGAGCCCAACAUAGGGCUCAGUCUCACAACCCUGAGAUCAUGACCUGAGCCAAAAUCAAGAGUUGGAUGUUUAAAUGACAGAGCUACCCGGGCGCCCCAGUAUUUCUCAUUUUUUAAAGAAAAAUGCUGAUAAUUCCCAAGGCAUUGUGGAAAAAAAGUAACAACUGAUUCAUUGGGAAGAUGCUGAAGAUGUUUGCCAUGUCUUUUUCAGUAAUUUCUGCCAUAAAGAUUAUCCACUUUUAGGACAAAUGGGUAUUAUGUAACCUGCCAGCUAUGCUGAAGAAAGCUACAAAACACACAAAGGUCUUGUUUAGCUUUCAGUAUCAUUAAGGGAAUUCAAAAUUUUGCAGUUAACUUUGAUUCUAUUUAGUCAAUUUGACUAAAGUAUACAACAGACAAAAGUCUAACUUUGUUAUCUUGUGCCUUUUGACCACCACCAUCAUGGCUUCACCUGUACACUGAGAACUCAAGAGUAGAAGAGAAAAAAUCCCCCACCACAGUUGUAAACAGAUGGGAUCAAAACAGAGUCAUCCUUAAAAAUACUUCAACAAGUUACCUUUGUAGACACUCUCCUCUGAUUGCAGAAGCUGUGGUCUCUGCCUUUAAAAAGAUGGAAGCAAAAAAAAAAAAAAAAAAA